UGAAAUCAAAAGUCAGGCAUGACUGAGCCACCCAGGUAUCACCAAAGUCCCACCUUCUAAUACCAUCACACUGGGGAUUAGACUUCAGCAGUUGAAUUUUGGGAAACUCACACAUUCAGUCUAAGCAGGGUAUAGCUUGGACUAAUAUGAAAUAGAACCCAAAUAAUGAUAUAUUAAAUCAGGUAGAGAUUUAUCUUUUUUCUCAUGUAAAAAUCUAAGCUGACAUAGUGGCUCUUCUUCACAAAGGCAUUGGGAGCCAAAACUCCUUCCAGUUUUGAGUUCCAAUCUUUGUUUUUUCUUUUUUUUAGAUUUUAUUUAUUUAUUCAUGAGAGACACACAGAGAGAGGUAGAGACGAAGCAGACCCCCUGCGAGGAGGCUGAUGUGGGACUCAUCGCAGGAGCCCGAAUUCAUGACCUGAACCAAAGGCACACACUCAACCGCUGAGCCACCCAGGUUUCCUCCACCCCUGCUCCAAUCUCUGGCUGCAGUAAGGUCCCCACGCCCCUUCCCCUCUCAGGAGAGCUGUGGCCUUGGGCAAAGGCUGCCCAAUUCUGAAGGUGUAGCAGCUGAAGGCUGUCGGGCACCUGUGCCCUCCUUGAGCGACGGCCUUCUGAAGGGAGUGACACGGGGACAAAGCCAACACGUUGGACCCAGAGAGAGCCGACUUACUGGUCACAAGACCACAGGUUUGAUGGAAAUGUUACUUCCUAUGGAAAGCUUACCCUACUUCCAAAGACUACCUUCAGACAUGCUUACAUGAAGUAUUUUGUGUCUAUUCCAUCUUUAUAUCCCCCAGGGCCUAGUACAAUGCCUAAUGUGGUAAGCAUACAAAAAGUAUUUGUUAAAUGAACAAAUGUUUGUUGUAGAAAAUACUGAAAAGCAAAAAAAAAAAAAAAAAAAAAAAAAAAAAAAAAAAAAAAAAAAUCAAGUGCCAUCCUAUUUCACAGAUGUAACCUUUGCCAAUGGUUCAUUUUACUUUCUUUGGUCUUUUUUCCACUCAUAAGUAUGUGUAUCAUCCUUAUCUAUAUUUGCAUUCAUAUAUGUAACUUUUCCUCUCUUUCUUUUGAGUGAAACAGCCAGCAUUUACUGACACUGUGCUAAGUCCUUGGGGAGAUCCAUUGUAAUAAGCUUCACUCGUUGCCACUAAGCUCCUUGGAACUUACAGUGUGGGGACAGAGUUGGAGUCAUGGCUAACAAGGCAUAGCUGUUAUGAGACUUGACGUUGUGAGAUUUAGCCUGGCAUCUUCAGUAGGCAGUGGGGAGAGCAGCCGGGCUGAGUGCUGUCAGGAAGGGUGGGACAGACCUUAGGACCUGACCCAGGGGCUGCCUGUACUGAGACCCUCUGACAAGCAACACAGUUCUCCACUUGGUAAGAGCAAUUCUAUUCUGAAAUCCCUCAUAAUAGGGCACAUCAUCCGGAGUUGAAACACACUACUACUUUUAGUGGGGAAGAAAUAUUUUCAUUGCAUGCCCUCAGAUUGACCUCUAUUCUGCUAAAAAACAAAACAAAAGCAAAUAAUACAGCACAACCACCAAAUCCCAUUAAAAUGUAUGGCAUUACUUCAUUUGUUAAUUUAGCCUGACAAAGCAUUGCCCUUCAUCAAUAACUCUCUAUAAUAUGACUAUUUACUUGUUUUCAUUAAUCUGUUAUACAGAGCAUAAUUAAGACUUUGCUUUUGAAUUAUGCUUAUGAUAUCCAAUUUUAAACAAAUCAAUCUUUAGUGCAAACAAAUAAAGAAAUUCAAACAGAACA
rnacentral:lncRNA from 1 species